CACGUAGGCGGAACAGAAAGUGUCUUGUGAAAGCCCCCGGCUUAACCGGGGAAUUGCUUGGCAAACUCCUGUUCUUGAGGCAAGUAGGGGUACAUGGAACUCUUAGUGGAGCGGUGGAAUGCGUAGAUAUUAAGAGGAACGCCAAUGGUGAAGACAGUGUACUGGGCUUGUCCUGACGCUGAGGUGCGAAAGCGUGGGGAGCGAAG
rnacentral:rRNA from 1 species